GGUCCGCAGCUCCAGCCCCUGCGCCUGUGCAGGGCCGCACCAGCCUCAGCCCUCCGCACCCCAGGGCUUUGCCCCUGGGGCUAGUGACGAUCCAUGUCCCCAACUAGUCUGGGGCCAACAGUGAACUGGAAAAAAGAGUAGUAAUUGAAUCCAGUUUUUACAAGUGUGUUCUAUUAACAAGGUUAAGAAAAUUAAGAUUCAUUGAGUCAUCUGUCUUCAGGGGCAAAGAGCUGGAGACACAAGCGGAAAGUGAAAGAAAAAACCCCCGAUGUGGAGGUUCGGGAAGUCUUUGUGUUCUUCACACUUGUUUCAUGGUUAGUUACAUCCUGUGGAGCCAGUGCCCGACUCGACUCGAAGUCCCGGCUCUGCGUCAGGCGGCCUUCUGCUGUGCUUUUCCGUCACUUCCAGAACCUGUGCCUGGGCUCUGUUAGCCUGAGAGUCUGCCGUGGGGCCAGAGAAAGGAGGGAGGAGAAAAGAAGAGAGGCACAGAGGGAAGGAGAGUGUGGACAGCACUGGGUUCUCGUCUAGCUCCACGUUCUGACCUCAGCAAGUCUCAUUUUCUAAGCUGGAGAAUGGAAAUAGCAAGCACUUCCUGGUCAGCCUGGAGGACAGUUGUGAGAAGCAAGAGAAGAGCCCUUGGACGGUGUCAAGGGUUUCUAAUCUUGUGUACGGCGGCCAGACACGUGGCCCACAACGUGCCCCAUGCGCAUAAAGGCUGUUUCAAGGGAAAUGCACUUAAAAUAGCACCAGGUGCAAGAAGGGUGCCCUUCCUGGACGCGGGAGAAAAGACCCCCACCCUGCCACUGUGGAAGAUGACCCCUGGAGCCUGGAGGGAGUAACGUCCUCAUCCUGCCUGGUGGGGAGUCAGACCAAGAGUACUCUGCGCAGAUGGGCCCUGUUAAAGUGACUCCCGCCUUCCACAGCCUCCCUGUGUAUGUUAGUUACUUUUCCACAGUUUCCUGUCUGUCCAGCCCAAUAUAAGAGCAUCUAAGGUUA